GUCAGGAUAGUUUCAUGCAGAAUGCGGCGCUGAAGCUGCUGUGGAGGUUGUACUACCUCUUGACA
rnacentral:tRNA from 1 species